ensembl:misc_RNA Y_RNA Y RNA
GGCUGGUCUGAGUGGUGUUUGCACCUAAUUAAUCACAACCCGUUACAGAUUUCUUUGUUCCUUCUCCACUCCCACUGCUUCACUUGACUAGCCUAAA